rnacentral:tRNA from 2 species
GCCUGCUUAACUCAAUUGGUAGAGUAUCGGUUUUGUAAACCGAAUGUUAACGGUUCAAGUCCGUUAGCAGGCU